rnacentral:rRNA from 1 species
CUAGGCUUUGGGAUAACCCCGGGAAACCGGGGCUAAUACCGAAUAUGACCUGGCCUCGCAUGAGGCUGGGUGGAAAGUUUUUCGGCCUGGGAUGGGCUCGCGGCCUAUCAGCUUGUUGGUGGGGUGAUGGCCUACCAAGGCGACGACGGGUAGCCGGCCUGAGAGGGCGACCGGCCACACUGGGACUGAGACACGGCCCAGACUCCUACGGGAGGCAGCAGUGGGGAAUAUUGCACAAUGGGCGGAAGCCUGAUGCAGCGACGCCGCGUGAGGGAUGACGGCCUUCGGGUUGUAAACCUCUUUCAGCAGGGACGAAGCGUAAGUGACGGUACCUGCAGAAGAAGCGCCGGCCAACUACGUGCCAGCAGCCGCGGUAAGACGUAGGGCGCGAGCGUUGUCCGGAUUUAUUGGGCGUAAAGAGCUCGUAGGCGGCUUGUCGCGUCGACUGUGAAAACCCGCAGCUCAACUGCGGGCCUGCAGUCGAUACGGGCAGGCUAGAGUUCGGUAGGGGAGACUGGAAUUCCUGGUGUAGCGGUGAAAUGCGCAGAUAUCAGGAGGA